AUUCCCUAGUAGCGGCGAGCGAAGCGGGAAGAGCUCAAAUUUAUAAUCUGGCACCUUCGGUGUCCGAGUUGUAAUCUCUAGAAGUGUUUUCCGCGUUGGACCGCACACAAGUCUGUUGGAAUACAGCGGCAUAGUGGUGAAACCCCCGUAUAUGGUGCGGACGCCCAGCGCUUUGUGAUACACUUUCAAUGAGUCGAGUUGUUUGGGAAUGCAGCUCAAAUUGGGUGGUAAAUUCCAUCUAAAGCUAAAUAUUGGCGAGAGACCGAUAGCGAACAAGUACCGUGAGGGAAAGAUGAAAAGCACUUUGGAAAGAGAGUUAACAGUACGUGAAAUUGUUGGAAGGGAAACGCUUGAAGUCAGACUUGCUUGCCGGAGCUUGCUUCGGUUUGCAGGCCAGCAUCAGUUUUCCGGGGUGGAUAAUGACGGUUUGAAGGUAGCAGUCUCGGCUGUGUUAUAGCUUUCCGUUGGAUACAUCCUGGGGGACUGAGGAACGCAGCGUGCUUUUUGCGAAAGACUCGUCUUUUUCACGCUUAGGAUGCUGGUGGAAUGGCUUUAAACGACCCGUCUUGAAACACGGGACCAU
rnacentral:rRNA from 1 species